rnacentral:rRNA from 1 species
GAUGAACGCUGGCGGCGUGGAUAAGGCAUGCAAGUCGAACGGUGCAAGGUAGCAAUACCUUGCAUAGUGGCGGACGAGUUAGUAACACCUUGGUACGUACCCUUCAGUCGUGGCACAACGGGUCGAAAGAUCCGCUAAUUCCCGAUAGUCUCGCAAGAGUAAAGUCGCAAGACGCUGGAGGAGCGGCCUAGGUCCUAUCAGCUUGUUGGUGAGGUAACGGCUCACCAAGGCUAUGACGGUAGGGGGUGUGAGAGCACGGCCCUCAACGACGAAACUGAGAUACGGUUCGUACACCUACGGGUGGCAGCAGUCGAGAAUAUUCGACAAUGGGCGAAAGCCUGAUCGAGCGACGCCGCGUGCAGGAAGAAGGGCUUCGGCCUGUAAACUGCUUUUUGCGUGGGAAGAACUUUGACGGUACCACGAGAAUAAGGGGUUGCUAACUCUGUGCCAGCCGCCGCGGUAA